GCCUACGGGGGGCAGCAGUGAGGAAUAUUGGUCAAUGGGCUUACGCCUGAACCAGCCAAGUCGCGUGAGGGGAGACUGCCCUAUGGGUUGUAAGCCUCUUUUGUCAGGGAGCAACGCCGGCUACGUGUAGCCGGACUGAGAGUACCUGAAGAAAAAGCAUCGGCUAACUCCGUGCCAGCAGCCGCGGUAAUACGGAGGAUGCGAGCGUUAUCCGGAUUUAUUGGGUUUAAAGGGUGCGCAGGCGGCCUGUUAAGUCAGCGGUAAAAGCCCGGGGCUCAACCCGGGCGAGCCGUUGAAACUGGCGG
rnacentral:rRNA from 1 species